ACCUGGAUAGCGCAGUGGCUAGCGAGUUAGAUUGUCAAUCUGGAGGUCCUGGAUCGAGUACCAGCAGCGGCA